CAAGUCGUACGAGAAAGUGGAGCAAUCCAUGAGUAAAGUGGCGACCGGGUGAGUAACACGUGACUACCUACCUUCUAGUGGGGGAUAACUCCGGGAAACCGGAGCUAAUACCGCAUAACAUCGCAAGAUCAAAGCAGCAAUGCGCUGGAAGAGGGGGUCGCGGCUGAUUAGCUAGUUGGUAGGGUAAUGGCCUACCAAGGCAAAGAUCGGUAUCCGGCCUGAGAGGGCGCACGGACACACUGGAACUGAAACACGGUCCAGACUCCUACGGGAGGCAGCAGUGGGGAAUUUUGCGCAAUGGGGGAAACCCUGACGCAGCAACGCCGCGUGGAGGAUGAAGUCCCUUGGGACGUAAACUCCUUUCGACCAAGACGAUAAUGACGGUACUGGUGGAAGAAGCACCGGCUAACUCUGUGCCAGCAGCCGCGGUAAUACAGAGGGUGCGAGCGUUGUUCGGAAUUAUUGGGCGUAAAGGGCGCGUAGGCGGCGCCACAAGUCACUUGUGAAAACUCUGGGCUCAACUCAGAGCCUGCAAGCGAAACUGUGGUGCUGGAGUAUGGGAGAGGAGCGUGGAAUUCCUGGUGUAGCGGUGAAAUGCGUANAUAUCGGGAGGAACACCUGUGGCGAAAGCGGCGCACUGGACCAUAACUGACGCUGAGGCGCGAAAGCUAGGGGAGCAAACAGGAUUAGAUGCCCUGGUAGUCCUAGCCCUAAACGAUGAUUGCUUGGUGUGAUCGGUACCCAAUCCGAUCGUGCCGAAGCUAACGCGAUAAGCAAUCCGCCUGGGGAGUACGGUCGCAAGACUGAAACUCAAAGGAAUUGACGGGGGCCCGCACAAGCGGUGGAGCAUGUGGUUCAAUUCGACGCAACGCGAAGAACCUUACCUGGGCUCGAAAUGUAGUGGAAUGGGGUAGAAAUAU
rnacentral:rRNA from 1 species